GGUUCUACUUGCGACCUUAUGAAACACAAAAUAUUAGGAAAGUCAGUUGAUUGACAUUUAUAAUGGCGUCAUCACUACCAAUGAUUCAGGAUAAGGAGUUCGUUAACUGGCUUAAAGGCGCUCUUGCUUUGCUUUUUGCAAAACAAGGAUUCGACGACUUUGUCAGUGACGAAAUGACACAAUUUCAAAAGGACAUGUUGGCAUCAAUAUUCAAAAAGAAAGCUUUGCCUGCUGGAACCGUCUGUAACUCCUGUACUACUGAAAAUGUUCUAGCCUGCCCAACACCAAACUUCUGCUCGAAAGGCCGAUGUAAAUUACAUGAUACAGGUCAGUCAGAUAAACAGCCUAAUCAACCAUGUCCAAACGGAUUAUGCCAAGAUAUGCGGGAAAGUAUUCGACGUGAACACAGAUAUGAUGGGUCUUCCUGGAAGAACACGAAUGCCAGUAGGUGGAGUAAUGAUGCCUUUGAAAUAGCAAAAUGCUACAUGCCUCCGGAUGGUUAUUCAGGUGUAACCAGACUUGCAGAUACUGAUUUCAAUGGUACUUUGACUGUUAUCAUCAACAACAAACGUUUCCAAAACAAAAUGUCAGCCCAACUUAGUCAGCCGAACAAUGUGUGUACUAAGGCACGGGAGGCAGGUCGUGAUAUACGACAUUCAGCAGAUUUGAAUAUCUCUGAGACAAUGUUGGUGCAAUACAUCGAUACCUUAAUUGACCUUUUGUCUGAUGCAAAAUACCUGGCCACUGAUCAGAAUGCUAAGGAUGCAGUGGAAAAACUAAAGCAGUUAAAAUCAAACACGUUAACUAUAACCACAGCAGACAUUACUACAGUGUUAGACAAUGCAAUCAAAGAUAGGCAACUUGAUGCGUUGAAAUCCAUUGAAAAGAAAACGCAGUCCUCCAUCCAGCUCAUGCAGGAUGUUAAAGCCUUAAUUGCUGACGUAAAAACAUUAACAGUGACAAGUUUGGAUCUGAUCAUUGCAGAGAAACAGUCUUCUAUUGCUGAAAUCAAGAGAGAAGCAGAAAAGCAGAAAGAAGAAAUAGCAAAGACAGGUGAAAAAGAAAAAGAAAGAAUUGAAAAAGAUAUAAAAGAGGACCUGAUCGAGUUCUACAGAAAACAUUACUCUACAAUUUCUUAUGCCCCACUCAUAGAAGAACACAAUGUUCCAUUGACCGAUUUUUAUGUGCAGCCACCACUUACUUCCGUUGACAUACAAACAAAGUUCGGACAGUUUCAGAAACUUCCUAAAAGGACGCCAAUACAUUCAUACCGUGACGUGUUUCUCCGCGAAGAUGGUGAAUUGUACAAAGACGUUUACGUCACAGCAAAUCCUGGAGUUGGAAAAACAUCUUUUGCGAAGAAAGUCGGCAUGACCUGGUGCAAAGCUCAUAGAUCCACUGAAAUGCUAGAGCAGACAUUCAAAUCAGAAGAUAUAAAUAUGAUGAAAACAUUUGAGUUUUUAUUCAUGGUUUCCUUACGCGAUGUUAGCACCUCUGUAUGCAGUUUAGAUGAUAUAAUCGAACGAAACCUUCUCAAAUAUCUUGCAAGGUGCUCUCGGUACUCAAGGGUUGUAUUAGAGGAUAUCUUAAAUGAGAGGACAUGUUUAGUUCUUCUAGAUGGUCUUGAUGAAUGGACGCACCCGAUAAGCUGUGAUACAGGUUGCCGAGAUGUCCAUGCAACACCCCACAUGCCAGCACGAAAACUAUGCACAGUGCUUACGACAACACGGCCUUGGAAAUUUGACGAUGUCAGACUGGGUACCACUCAAAUUGACAGACACAUAGAAAUCAAUGAGCUGGACAGGGUUUCAUCGGAAGAGCUUAUAAGUAGUGCUGUUAAAGUACUGAACAGUAAAACAGUACAGGGCGAAUCAAAGACCGCUAAAGAGUUCGAAAGUACAACGUCGACUCUGAAGCUCGAAAACUUGCGAUAUAUCCCCUACAUCCUGUUGCAAAUGAUUUGCCUGUGGUUUGACGGAAAGUCAAUAGGAAAAUCGAAAUGCGAAAUAUAUACUAAUAUAAUAAAACUUACGCUAUCUCGGGGUUUAAUAAAGUUAGGAAAGGCAGCUUCAGCACCAAGAGGAAUAAGCACAUCAUUAAACAUUCCUCCAUGCCCACAUUUGAGUGAAAUUUGUAAAUCACAUUACGACGUAUUAAUCGCUCUUGCUAAACUAGCAUUUGAAAAACUGUUUAGUUCGAAAUUGGAAAGUAAUCUUGUAUUUGAUAGGUCUGAAGUUCUUUGCAUUAUAUCAGAGGACAUUCUCCAAUUUUGUUUAGAAAUAGGAUUUUUAUCACAAACUAAAGACUAUGGAUCAGUCUCAGAGAGACGCAGCACUCUUUCAUUUCAACACAAAUCUAUCCAAGAGUAUUUCGCAGCCCUUUAUAUACAGUCGCACUACUACAAUCAAGACAUUAAAAAAAUUAUUCGCAGAGAAUGUAAUACACUGUCUGCUAUACUGAAAAUGUCAAAUGUGUUUAUAUUUCUCGCCGGACUAAAUUCUGUUGCAUGUGGUCAUAUUUUUAAAAUAUUUAUGGACAAUUUGUCUUCUGAUGAGAAAAUAGAGUAUUUCAGGAAUAACUAUAUAUCUGGCCGGUCGUAUUUACCAAGAUGGCUUGAAUAUUGGGAAAUUAUGAAAUCCUGGCAGUCCAUGCUGACAGAUUCUGCGCAAGAAAUCAUUACCAAUAAUGGACAAAAUAAUACUCCUUUAUAUAUCGAAGAUAUAAUCAUAGAUAGCACAGUCACACUAGACACGUGCAAUAUACUUAAAAUCCUAACAGAGAACAAUAAAGACAAGAUUAAAUCAAUCAGUAUAUCAGAAUGUCGGUCUACAGAGGAGUUUACAGAAAAACUUGAAACGCUCGAGCUGCAAGGUAUGCAUUCGUUACUCAAAUUAGUCAUCGAGGCUGUUCCUGAAGAACAAGAUCUUUAUCGUUUACUUUCUGGAUCUGAAAACACAAUUGCAUGUUUGAUUCUCGGCUACGUAGUGUUUAGAGACAAUAUGUACAAAAGACAUAUCAAAGAAAUGUCUGCUAAAACAGUACACAUUAUGUUACGCAUGGAAAAUUUACAAACAAUAAAUCUGGAACAUAUCCGUCUGAGGCAUGCUGAUAUCGAACAUUUAUUUCAAUACCUGGUGACCAGACAAACAAUGACAUAUAUCACAUUAAGAAAUAUAAUAUGUAUAGAUCACGAAAAGUGUGAAGGUUUCUGCCUUGAUCUGUCCCGUCACCAGAAUAUUAAGAAUUUUAAUUUAGAUGACGUACCCGUGUCUAUGCUGCAUGUUGACUCUUCCUCACUGGAGAUCUGUGGUGUAGGAAACUUACGACCAGAUGUUCAAACAUCGUUAGUCCAGUGUCUGCCUGAAGCAAGAAAUCUAAGCUUAGUGUCUUUCACUUGUUUUAAACCCGAACAGUUUGAUAUUAUUAAAGAUACUCUGCCAAAAUUGCCAAGGCUUGAAAGUGUUGCUAUUCAGUUGACUGAUCUUGGUGAUACUGCACUCAUACUGUCACCACAAAUGACAAAUCUGGAGUUUGUUUACUUCUAUAGGGUAACUAUGACGAGUACUUCACUGAGAUGUCUCAUUGACAGUGUUGCCGUUCUGCCACAACACGUCAAAGUUGAGCUGAAGCGGUGCACCGUGAAAACAGAAAAAGACUAUAGGCAAAUGACGAAAGAGAUAAGAUCAUCUCCAAAGUACCAAGUGGAGGUUGAUGAAUUGAACGAAAGUGGUGAUAAUAAGUUUUUGUUUUACAAACUGAAAGACACGACAUAGUAUUAUCACGCUAUGUUAAAUUAAUUUUUUCUCCCACCUUUGUCUAACAUCAUUUACCUUGAUUUCUCAAAAAAUAUAAAACAAUACAGUUAAAAGCAUACAUCAUUACAAAUUGAAUGAACACCACGGGUACUAAAGGGUAGUAUAAGGAUCAAUUUAAAUGUUUAGGUUUUGUCAUGCCUUAAAUCGAUUGUUUAAUAUCAGCCGUUGUGCACACUGCACUGUUUUAAAAUUUCAGUUGCGAGAUUUUUAGAUAAAUUUUGUUUGUUUGUUUUUGGGUUUAACGCCAUUUUUCAACAGUAUUUCAGUCAUGUAACGGCGGGCAGUUAACCUAACCAGUGCUCCUGGAUUCUGUACCAGUACAAACCUGUUCUCCGCAAGUAACUGCCAACUUCCCCACAUGAAUUAUCAGAGGUGGAGGACUAAUGAUUUCAGACACAAUGUCGUUUAUCAAAUAGUCACGGAGAACAUACGCCCCGCCCAAGGAUCGAUCUCGCGACCCCGCGAUCCGUAGACCAACGCUCAUACCUACUGAGCUAAGCGGGUUUUAGAUAAAUAAUUGUAAUAAAACUUUAAGAAUGUCUAAGCUAGCAUUAAAGAUACACUUCCAUACAAUAAUUAAAAUUUCGGGGCAAUACUUUUACACCGGAAAAGUCCAUUUCAAGUAUGUAGAAAACGUCCUACUAUCAUUCAUAGAGGCGAAGAUGUAUAGCUUUUAACUAGAUUUUGCAAAAUAUAGGCUAAUCUUUUUUACUUUUUGGAUUGAACAAAUUCCAAAAUAAAUGUUUUGGUGUGGAAUGAGUAAUAAGUAUGGAUAUGAAAGAUAAAAGAUGUCCUCGAAGAUAUCAUGGCCCAUUUUUGAGAUAUUGCAUCUAGUAUUCUGAGGUAAAUCUAAAAUCUAAUCUUAAUGUGGUCGCUUCUGUGUGUAUGCUGUAUUAUUUUAUUAGUGGUAUAAAUAUUUGCUUUGAAUAUCGGAAAAGGUAUUUAAUGAUUUAAGUACUGGUAGGCUAUGUUAAGUACUAUACCAUCUUUGUCAAAAAUGCGUUGGUGUUAAAAUUCAGAACAUGUGUCAAAAUUAAGAACAUUAUAGAAUUUCUUAUCAAACUUAUACAUACAUAUUUUUAAAACAAACUCGCACGCUUGAGUUAAAAGAGAUUGAUCAGCAAACAUGUGCAUCUCAAAGUCAAAAACAAGGAAAAGAAUAUUCAUCGGGGAUUGUAUUCACAAUGUUACUGCAGAUGGGUAGGGUACUUGCCAAUUAGAAUACGACACAUGCAAGUUAAAGUUUUGUGUUAUAUCACAAAAACACCAUAUCAGGGACCGUAUUCAUAAAACAUCUUAAGUAAAAGUUUUGACUUAGGUUUAAGAUUUUACUUAAGUUUGUGGUGAUUUCAGCUUAAGUCUAAGUGAAAACUUAAGUCCUGGUCAUAGAGCAGCUAAAACUUAAGAUACGUAAGAAAUGACUUAAGUCAGAAAACAAAAUAGCGUGGCAUGAUUAAAGUGUUGUUUUUCAGAUAAAAGCACUUUAAACAUAAUUGCACGUGUUGUAUCUGUCUGAAAUUAUUGGGUUUUUUUAAUGUUUUCGUCCACAAUAAAAAACAAGAUUUACUUAUUAAAUUGUUUUAUGAAUAACAAAUAUACUUAAGUAAAACAAAUUUUAACCUAAGUAAUACUUAAGUAAAUAAUCAAUUUCUUAUACUUAUACUUAAGACGCUAAAUAUGAAUACAGUCCCUGAUCGGAUUUAACGAAUAUCAAUAUAUUUGCAUACAAGUUGCGCGAAUGAAAUAUAUUCCAUAAAUGGAUGUUGCGUGUUUAUUUUUUCUCGAGUAUAGUUGAGGAGAACCAACGGCGGUACUCUGAGAUUAAGCUACGGGUGGCAGCUGGGUAAAGAACAGACAUAACAUACAUUUGAGUGUGCUAGCAGAUAUUGUGAUCGCUUGGAAAAUAUUGUCAACAUCGGCUAUCGCCUCGCUUGACAUUAUAUUUCAUGGGUUCACAAUUUCUACUAACAAAUUUAAGGUAGUUCUGCACGUUCGGGUCGAAAGUUUUUCUACAGUGUAGAAUUUGAUUAAACUCUGAUUUUUUUUAAAACUUCAGAAUAUACCAAAAAAUUCAGUAACUAAAAAAGAUAGGGUUGUAUGCAUGCUUUUCUGAUAAACUGAUUUGAAAAAUUUAGAGCUUAGGCAAUUUUUCAUAAAGGGAGCCUAUUGGAAAAUCAUAACUUCCAUAAAAUUUUCGCGAAUAGUAAUUUUUCUACAAUGUAGAUUUCAGUGAAAUUUCUCACAGUUGUAAAUAAACAUGUGGCCUAUAAUUCGGUGAAAUAAAAUGUAUAGAUCCUUGGUUCAUUUUUGAGAUAUCUAACCAUGAUUAAAGUGAAGCGGACAUUACACGCUAAUAUAAAGACAUUAUUUUGAAUUAUUUAUUUAUAUAUUUUAAUAUCAUACAAAAUGUUAGAAUGAUAGUAACAGUGCAAUAAAUUUAAUAAAUGAUGUUACGCCGUCACUUUCGGUUUAUCAAAUGUGCAAAACUACCUUAAAUGCAUUUUAUAUUUGUAUAAUGUUAUAUUGUGAGCAUAGCUGACAAUAUUCGCUAAAUUAAGCUUUAACAUUUUGGUUGGAGUAAGCAAUUUCAUAUUUACUUUUAAACAGAACUUACAAACAUAUGUUUUUUUUUUUCAUUAGAAAUUAAUGUACAGUGUAUGGGCCUUUAUGUAUAUGCCAUAAUAUUAACAUUUAGUAGGUUUUCAUUACGAUUAGUGUAUGAAACAGGGGUGGGGAAAUUUAAACUCCUUUCAACUGAACAUCAUAUUGCGUUAUUUUCAACUAUAUUGUUGUCCCCUUUACUUUAUGACUCUUUCAAUGUAUACAUAAAUAUGCACAUUUUAUAACAGUAAGGUACAGUUUGUAAUACAUGUAAAUCACACAAUUUGUAGGCAAUGGCUAUGAAAACAUUAACCCAUAGUGUGAUUUUAGAAGAAGUCUGAAGAUGAGUUUGCUUUAAGGAGGUAGGUUACCUUAAUAUUUGUAUGUGCGCAUGCCCAACCGGAAGCUAAAGUGACAAUUUACGACCACGUUUACGACAGACUAAAUGUGUUUGUAUAUCCAUUCUUCUGAAAAAAAAUCAUGAACCUGACUCCGAUCUGAUGUUUCGUGGUUUGAUAAUGCAUAAAUGAUGAAUAAAUUGCCACAGAAACGCUUCAAAACAUUGUUGCCUUAAAAAGACGUCACUGACGCCAUGACGUUACGUGUCAGUUACCUCGCAAAAUUAGAAGCUUUUAUUUUGAAAGUACGUGAUUCUGUGCAUUUUCUUUAUUUGAACUAUUUUUAAAUAGCAAUAAUUUGCUGAAAUAUUUUUUAUGAGUCUUUCGCUCUGAAUUAUGAUCAAUAUUUUGCUUCUUUUAUGCAGUUAUAUUGAAAUGUAUGCGGAAUGUAAGAAAAUGGUUGAUGAUAACUGAUGUUUUUGGGAAUGUACUUGGAUGAAAGGUUACUUAUAUCGGCCAUUUUCAAAUAAAAAUAGGGCAGUUGAUUUUAAAUACCUAUUUUUCAGUUUCUGUUGAUAAUUUGUUACUUAUAUACUAAAACUAAACUCUAAAAUUGUUCAAAUUUCAGUAUAAGACUGUGUUUCUUGAAUUAAAUUGAUGUUACCAUGGAAACAAAGCCCUUGACCUAUAUAUCUAAAUGUAAAAUUCAAAAGCGUUGACACUGAUCUAGUUAAGGAACACAGCUUCGGGUCAACAGUUAGUUUUGCCAUUAAGUUCAGGAAUCUUAAUUUCCGGUCUCUUCAUGAUGGUCUUGGUCAUCAAGGUCGUGAUAGAACACUUGCUCUUGUUCGAUCUCGUUUUCACUGUCCUGUUUUAGAAGCAGUCUUAAAAAUGAAGCACUGUCAUCGUUGUAUAAAAAGUAAGACUCCAGCCAAGACUAGAGCACAACUUGUCAACAUUGCAACUACACAACAGAUAGAAAUUUUAUUGAUUUUCUGUCAUUAGAACGUUCCAGAGGUGGUUUUGAAAAUAUUCUUGUUAUAACUGAUCAGGAAACAUUUUUCAGAGCAAGGGAGAAUGUCUCGGUAAGUAAGAUAAAUUGGUAUUAUCAUACCUAAAAUCACUGAUGCAAGAGACAAUGUAAAACAAUUUUUGACUGGCUGCACCCUACAUUUCACAAAAUCAUGUUUUGAGGGGUAACUUAAAAAGUACCUGUCAGUUGACAGAUUUUCUUUACAAGAAGAGCAUGUAGUUUAUGCAAACUACAAACAUAAUCUUUUUCUUACAGAUCAUUACAGCUCAGAUAAAUCCAAAGUUGUCCAUUGUCCUGUCCCUUGUUCAUGGAUUGUUAGGUUAAAUUUCUUUUAGUCGAAUUUUCAUGAAUAAUGAUUUUGCAACUGUAAGAGGUCAUUCAGCAACCGUUUUAUAAUUGACAAGAGUUUUGAAAUAAAGAAACAAUUGAUAAUGUAAUGAUAAUCACCUCUGUCACACGUAUAUUUUAGCAUGUUAAAAUGCUUGACCCCCUAUUGAUUGAUACAUACGUAGCCAUCCAUAAUUAUCAGUCAUAGAGAUGAAAAAUAGCCGUCAACAGUAUAUUUUUCGACUAUUUAGCUGACAUCAGUAUUUACUACGAAGGAAAAAGCGGUGAUGUACCAAAUCAGAUUUGUGUGAUAUAUAAUGAACUGCUUUCUAUCUUUACUCUAGGGUUAGAAAUAGGUUGAUACAUACGUUACAGAUAAUUUCAAAAGUAUCAUAAAUCAUUAACAGUCCAAGAAUAACUGCUUGUACUGGAAGAAUAGGUCAAUCACUUUCUUAAAGGGACGUUUUUUUAUUUUACAAACAACUUAAGAGACAAUCUGUAUAUAGUUGAGUAUAUCAUAAAGAUACUUACGUGAUCGAUAAGUACGAUACCAUAAAUAUUUAAGACAGUUCAAUAUCCUCCUCAUAGUUUAGCUUUUUAUUUUCUAGUGCUGCUUUGGCGGUCAUUAUAUUCAAAAAAUAAAAAUCUACAUCGAUAAUCCUAAAUGUGAUUAGAUUUGAAGGAAGACUUCUUACAGACAAACAUCACACAGAUAUCAACAUUUUCUCAAUGGUUCUAUUUGUUGCGAGCAUUCUCUUGUCUGGUGUCCUUCCCCUUAAAAUAUGCGAUGUUGAAUACAUGCGCAUAUGUUUUUAGAAAAAACGAGAAAAUGUCCGGUAUUGCUGUUUUCCAAUGCCUACAAUUUUGCUAAUGAAUAACUGUUGUGUUAACCACUGUUAUUAAUUUUCAGAUUAUACCAAUUGUGUAGACAUAACAAAGAUAAUGCAUCGUCCGAAUAUAGAAAAAUAAACUUUACUUAUGAAUAUCUGGCCAACAAUUUUAUUUCAAAUGUUACAAAAAUACAUUGUAUUUCGUCCUUGAUUGUUGACAAAAAUGUUUCUAAUGUAUAUCCCUUUUGUCUACAUAGCUUGUGAAUAUAUUUAGCACAGAUAUUUAUAGCCUUGAUAUACAUAGAAAUUACUCAGUUAACGGUUGUAUCGAUAUUUACGUUAUAUGCUUUUAUAGUUCAUGCAUUAUUUUUCUUAAGGAUUGCAUAGUUUAUAUCCGUUAGUUUUUUAUCAUUAAUAACUUUCAAAUCCUACAAUAAAUCCCUAACAAACAUUGAAAUUCAUAAAGGAUUAGUUUGAACAAAAAGCAGAAGUAAAAACAAACAUGAUUAUUUUAUUUACAGGGUAUUUAUUUGUUAACAUUCAUUCACACCAACAUAUUUUUGCCAGUAUUUAGUACUGAGAUGAAUAUAAGUGUCUCUGCAGCUGUUUAUAUAGAAACAUUUGAUAGUUUUUAAAAUCAUAACAUGUUCAAAGGUAAAAGUUAAAUAUAUAUUUUACUCAAAGAAAAAUUCGAAUUAAUAAAUGCUAGUACAUAUUUAUAAAAAAGAACUUAAAAAUACUUAUUUUAUUUAUUAUUCAAAGGAGUUGAGAAAUCAUUUCAGAAGAGUUUUAGUAGCUGGUACAAUUGUUGAUAAACUGAAGGUCGUUUUGUUGAAAGUAAAUUUUCAAUGACUUUAUAGCCACAUUUAUGAUGCGAGAUAGGCCAUUUAGAUGAAAAUAUGCAUACAUGUAGAUGUAAGUGAUAUAGGCCAUGAAGAUGACAAAGAAGCAGAAUAAGUAAGUUUAUGUGAAGCGAACUUUUUUGUCAAGUAAUGAAGCCAAACAAAUAGCUAUGUCAGGAAAAAUUGUUUUGUUUUAGAGCUUAGUAAAUAGGCGUUCGUAAAGUAAAUGAAAUUUGUAUACUUCUUUGCAGAAAUUUAUAUACAUGUUACAGAGCAUCCUUUUACCAAGAUGCAGCGUUUAUUACAUAUGUUACUAAAUUUGAAUAUGCUAAAUUUUCAGCUUAAUUUCGAGUCCCCUAUUUCUUCCAGCGAUUUAUUGUCUGACGGUAUAACUGAUGUAAUUGAUGACAAAUUGAAAAAGUAAAGUGCAAUGUGUAUUCUUGUCCUACGUAAGUUGUGUAUUGUUUUGUUGUUUCGAUGUUAUGUCUUAUCUUCAAAAAAAAAAUUAUUCAUAAUAUUUACUGACUGUAAAUGUUGUUUUAGCGUUUGUUAAUAAAAUCCCUUUAACUAU